UUCAUAUAAAUAAUCUUACUCUAUCAGACUCUGGGAUUUAUUCAUGUAAUAAUGAUCCAGUGUGGAAUCUCACUGUAACUCCAUUACAAGGUUCAAUCCCACCAACCCCUGCCUGGAUUCCAGAGCAGGAGGAAGAUGAACAGAAAGAUGAACGUUUUUGUUUUUCUGUGAAAUGAAGA